UGGUGGCGACCGGCGCACGGGUGAGUAACGCGUAUGCAACCCAUCUAUCAGAGGGGAAUAACCCGGCGAAAGUCGGACUAACACCGCAUAAAACAGGGACACCGCAUGGUGAUAUUUGUUAAAGAAAUUCGCUGAUAGAUGGGCAUGCGUUCCAUUAGGUAGUUGGUGAGGUAACGGCUCACCAAGCCGACGAUGGAUAGGGGAACUGAGAGGUUGGUCCCCCACACUGGUACUGAGACACGGACCAGACUCCUACGGGAGGCAGCAGUGAGGAAUAUUGGUCAAUGGGCGAGAGCCUGAACCAGCCAAGUCGCGUGAAGGAAGAAGGAUCUAUGGUUCGUAAACUUCUUUUGCAGGGGAAUAAAGUGCAGGACGUGUCCUGUUUUGUAUGUACCCUGAGAAUAAGGAUCGGCUAACUCCGUGCCAGCAGCCGCGGUAAUACGGAGGAUCCGAGCGUUAUCCGGAUUUAUUGGGUUUAAAGGGUGCGUAGGUGGUUUGAUAAGUCAGCGGUGAAAGUUUGCAGCUUAACUGUAAAAAUGCCGUUGAAACUGUCGGACUUGAGUGUAAAUGAGGUAGGCGGAAUGCGUGGUGUAGCGGUGAAAUGCUUAGAUAUCACGAAGAACUCCGAUUG
rnacentral:rRNA from 1 species